rnacentral:misc_RNA from 1 species
GAUGAAGAACGCAGCAAAAUGCGAUAAGUAAUGUGAAUUGCAGAAUUCAGUGAAUCAUCGAAUCUUUGAACGCACAUUGCGCCCGCUGGUAUUCCGGCUGGCAUGCCUGUUCGAGCGUCAUUUCAACCCUCAAGCCCCCGGGUUUGGUGUUGGGGAUCGGCUCUGCCCUUCUGGGCGGUGCCGCCCCCGAAAUACAUUGGCGGUCUCGCUGCAGCCUCCAUUGCGUAGUAGCUAACACCUCGCAACUGGAACGCGGCGCGGCCAUGCCGUAAAACCCCAACUUCUGAAUGUUGACCUCGGAUCAGGUAGGAAUACCCGCUGAACUUAAGCAUAUCAAUAAGCGGAGGA